UGCACUCUCUGAGUACUGAGUUUCCCUC
rnacentral:piRNA from 1 species